rnacentral:rRNA from 1 species
AUACGAAAGGUGCAAGCGUUGUUCGGAUUUACUGGGCGUAAAGAGAGUGUAGGUUGUUUAUUAAGUCGGAUGUGAAAUCCCGGGGCUCAACCUCGGAACUGCAUUCGAUACUGAUAGGCUAGAGUUUGGGAGGGGUAAGCGGAAUUCCGUGUGUAGCAGUGAAAUGCGUAGAUAUACGGAGGAACACCUGAGGCGAAGGCGGCUUACUGGACCAAUACUGACACUGAGACUCGAAAGCGUGGGUAGCAAACAGGAUUAGAAACCCUUGUAGUCC